rnacentral:tRNA from 1 species
GCCAGUGUAGCUCAGUGGAUAGAGCAUAGGCCUUCAGACCAAAGGGUCCCGGGUUCGAUUCCGGUCAAGGGCA